GACGAACGCUGGCGGCGUGCUUAACACAUGCAAGUCGAACGGAGAGGCCCUGCUUUUGUGGGGUGCUCGAGUGGCGAGCGGGUGAGUAACACGUGAGUAACCUGCCCUUGACUUUGGGAUAACUUCAGGAAACUGGGGCUAAUACCGGAUAGGAGCUCCUGCUGCAUGGUGGGGGUUGGAAAGUUUCGGCGGUUGGGGAUGGACUCGCGGCUUAUCAGCUUGUUGGUGGGGUAGUGGCUUACCAAGGCUUUGACGGGUAGCCGGCCUGAGAGGGUGACCGGCCACAUUGGGACUGAGAUACGGCCCAGACUCCUACGGGAGGCAGCAGUGGGGAAUAUUGCACAAUGGGCGGAAGCCUGAUGCAGCAACGCCGCGUGCGGGAUGACGGCCUUCGGGUUGUAAACCGCUUUCGCCUGUGACGAAGCGUGAGUGACGGUAAUGGGUAAAGAAGCACCGGCUAACUACGUG
rnacentral:rRNA from 1 species